AGUCGAGCGCGCCCUUCGGGGUGAGCGGCGGACGGGUGAGUAACGCGUGGGAAUAUGCCCUUCUCUAAGGAAUAGCCUCGGGAAACUGAGAGUAAUACCUUAUACGCCCUACGGGGGAAAGAUUUAUCGGAGAAGGAUUAGCCCGCGUUAGAUUAGGUAGUUGGUGGGGUAAUGGCCUACCAAGCCUACGAUCUAUAGCUGGUUUGAGAGGAUGAUCAGCCACACUGGGACUGAGACACGGCCCAGACUCCUACGGGAGGCAGCAGUAGGGAAUCUUAGACAAUGGGGGAAACCCUGAUCUAGCCAUGCCGCGUGUGUGAUGAAGGCCUUAGGGUCGUAAAGCACUUUCGCCAGAGAUGAUAAUGACAGUAUCUGGUAAAGAAACCCCGGCUAACUCCGUGCCAGCAGCCGCGGUAAUACGGAGGGGGUUAGCGUUGUUCGGAAUUACUGGGCGUAAAGCGCACGUAGGCGGAUUAGUAAGUUAGAGGUGAAAUCCCAGGGCUCAACCCUGGAACUGCCUUUAAUACUGCUAGUCUUGAGUUCGAGAGAGGUAAGUGGAAUUCCGAGUGUAGAGGUGAAAUUCGUAGAUAUCCGGAGGAACACCAGUGGCGAAAGGCGGCUUACUGGCUCGGUACUGACGCUGAGGUGCG
rnacentral:rRNA from 1 species